rnacentral:ncRNA from 2 species
GCGUGAUAACUAUGUAUUGGUUCUAGUAAGGAGCAGUUACUAGAGGUAACGGGGAAAGUUCGGUGUAAAUCCGACGCUGUCCCGCAGCUGUGAUGAGAUCGAGUUUAAAUCUCUCAGUCAGAAUGCCCGCCAAUAUUGAAAUCACUUG